CGGACAGGGGCGCCGGCGGGGCGGCGAGGGGCGCGGCGAGCGCGCAGUCACGUAGCAGCCCGAGGAUCCGUUCGCUCUGCGCCACGUAGGGCGCGACUCCCGAAGGCUCCUUCAUGAGACCUCAGUUAAGGUGUUGGCCGGACCUGUCUCCCGCUGGGUUGAAGGAUCCACGUCUCAGGUGCCUUAUUCAUGUGGUUGUUCCAGUUACGUGCCAUCAACCAUGAUCCAGAAGCAGUGACCCUCCUGCUGACAUGUUGUCAGAAGUACUCUGCACCGAGACCUGCGACCUGUCCGGUAUGUCCCUUCUGAAAACCAUGAAGUGGUUGGAAAAAAGGACACACGGAAGAGGUAAAUUAUACCUGUUUUGGGGUUACACUAAUUCAUACUUACAGGAAAAGGUGAAACUCAGGAAACAAAAUCGCGGCUCUCCUGUUCAGCGUGGGGGAAGGGGCACUGACCCAGAGGAGCGGGCUCACGGAGAAGAGAAGGGAAAGGUGGAGCUCCAGGAGAGAAGAGACGCCUCCCCUGGACUAAUGAGAGGAGCUUCAGCAGAAGAAAACACCGGAAACGUGCCCUGGAGAGGCAGAGGACACAUUCCUUCAGUAGGAACAGCGGGGACACCUUUCUGGGGGAAAGGGGAGAGGAAAACAGGGCAAGAACUGAUUCUUGCCAUCUUGUAGAACUGAUUCUACAGAGCUCUUUCAAGUGAGUGGCAUAGAAUUUCCUCCAUCGCAAGGUGCUUUUUGCAACAGGACCUACAAGCCCUUCUUUUGAGUUUUGUGGGAUUUCUCUCUUUUUAUUUUCAUUCGUUUGGUUUUGCCCCCAGACAGCUGGCUUAGGUGAAUACUGACACGAAAAUUGUUAGUGUGCUCUAGUCGUGGAUUUAGAAUACCCUGAAUCAGAAGUGACAGCCGUGGGUUCCUGGGUGACUCGGUUAAGCACCCACUCUUGAUUUC